GACGAACCGUGCGAACGUUGUUCGGAAUCACUGGGCUUAAAGGGCGCGUAGGCGGGCCACCAAGUCUGGGGUGAAAUCCUUCGGCUUAACCGGAGAAUUGCCUGAGAUACUGGUGGUCUUGAGGGAGGUAGGGGCACGCGGAACUUCCGGUGGAGCGGUGAAAUGCGUUGAUAUCGGAAGGAACGCCGGUGGCGAAAGCGGCGUGCUGGCCCUCUUCUGACGCUGAGGCGCGAAAGCCAGGGGAGCGAACGGG
rnacentral:rRNA from 1 species